UUAUAGCUGGUACGCAAUUGAUCUUUGUUCAACCUUGUGUAUAAAAUGGCAACACGCAAAGCACAGCAGGUAUACUACUCCGGGUGCUGUACUAGGAAAUUGAAAGGAGUUCACAUUGCUAUUCCAACUCUCAAUAAUAAUGGAAAUUAACACUAUGUUUAAACUACUUUUUCUACUUGUUGGUCUGAUAUUGAUGGCUGUUCUUCCAAUGAACUUGGUAGAGGGCUCCUCACCCGAUCCCGACCCAACUUUUCCAAAUCAUGACGACGACGACGAUGAUGGACUUCCCCCGGAUCAUUGAAGACAAAUGUAAAAUUGUUACCUACUUUGUAUCUUAUUUCUGCUCGAGAUGACCUUCUGCAGCUUGUUUAGUAGAAUAAGAUCGUUGGUUUGGUUGAAUAAAUUUGCAAACAUUGA